UUGAGGUAGGAUUUAGGGUGAUCUUUGGUUUUCUGUUGGAUGAUCUGGCGACGGACGCUUUGCGUGCGUUCAUGGUAGGCAAAAGAUUUGUGGUUCAUGAUUUGUGUGUUUUUUUAUGGGACCUUUUCAGUCUGGUUUUCGGUACAGCUCCGCAGAAAUCUUGAUUCUUGAAUAAGGGAAACCGUAGGUUUUAUACCUGUUGCUUAGAAAGAAUGUGCAAGAACAGAUAGAAAUAAGGGAAAGAAGGAGGACAGCAGCAAUGUGAUGAAGGAAGGAAGGAAUCGAAGAGGAUGGAGAAAAGGCAUCAUACGCAUCACACAAAACGAUGAACUCCGCUUUCAAGAACUCAUUUCGUCAUGCAACUUGGAUUCGAAGAAUUGAUUCCUUAUGACUUGAUAACUUUCCUUAUCCAUUCUAAACUCGAAAUAGAGUUCAUCAGAUGAAAUGGGAUUCUUGAUCCAAUUCUGAACCAGACAAUGACAUUUCUUGAAAGUGUUUGUUGGUCGCCUAAUUUUUACAUUUUUUGCAUUACUUUGUUUUCUUUUAGAAGACCUAUGCAUUUUAUUGCUUAGUUUUGCUUUUCCAUUUAAACGACAGGAUAUGAGGGGGAACAAAGCCUAGCAGCAUUAGAGAAUGCCAACAUAUGCAUAAGUUGCUGAUGGAUCUAAAGUUGAAAUUUAUGAUAUUAGGAAUUCCUUUUCUUUUGAUGAAGAGGACCUUCGAAAAUUAUGGGCAAAAUGUAUGUGCUCAUUUCUGCAAGAGUUAAAUGAUGCUGCUGGAGUUAAGUUCAUUGAUGAGUCUCCAGAAAACUUAAUCGAGAAAUUUUUUACUGAAUUUGCUUCAGUAAUAGCAAACAGGUCUCCUAAGCUUCAACUAGAGAUUUAAACCAAGGUUUCAAAUCUUGUUGCUGUGUUUAUAUUGGUUGAUGGCCAAAUCAGUACGCACGCAUUGAUGGAACAAAAAAGCAUAGGUUUGUACACCAAAUCCUAGGGAG